GAAUGUUUGUUUUAUAAGAGGGUUGCUAAGUUUCUAAUACGUUUUUUAAAAUAUUACCAUUGAAAUACUUCAGUUGCUCUUCCUAAGUGUGACAUUUUCACCAAGAGCCAGCGCUUCCCUUCUGCCUGGGACCCAAGAUUUCAACACUGUUUUCUUCCUAAGUCAGGAAGAAGAAAGCAGCUGGCCAAGACCUUCCACUCAUCACUAUUUCUCCACCUCUGUUUGCUUUUCUUUCCCGGCUUCCAUUAUGCUUGGCCUCCUUCAAUCAUUUGACUUCUGGCACAGGUCCAGCACACUGCAGAACUCUAGGAUAUGUUCCUUCCUUCCUUACUGCACGUGCAACCUCAUUAAGCCUGAUAGAGGCUCUCUCUGUUGUUCCAGAUUAGAAAUGGGAACGCAGCCCAAAGGAGAAUGCAGAAAAAAUAUGUUCCAUCUGGUGGCUGAUUAAAUGGUGACUUCAGGUGAUGACCACAUUCCGGGAGGCAGGAAGGCAGUGGCUCCUGAAGGGAACUGUAAUAAAGGUCAAGGACUACGAUGUUCAGGCAAUGAGAGGAUUUGGACUUUGUCAUCAGCAUCCUAGCCAUGGCCCCAGGAGUAGUAAUAGUAGUAGUAGUAGUAGUAGUAGUGGUCUCUCGGUAACCGAGGAUGACGAUUGUCUUUGUGCAUGUGUGCACAAAGACACUUGUGCGUGAAGGAGAUUUAAGUGGAAAAGUCGGUGCACAGAGAAAGUCCCACUCUCUCGGCGUUGGAAGCCUGGGUCCAGUGGCACAAAAAGACGUUACACCUGGAGACUUCCUCAGCUGCAUUGGAUGGCCGUGUUGUCUUUUGUGCUCCAACACGCCCUAAGCACUCCACAGUGCUUUGCUGCGUCGCCCUCUCAGCCAUUGAACCUUCUUAUUGGUUUCUUCCGUCUGUUCAGCCAAAGUACCCAGGAGAGCAGUUGCUAAAGACUAUGUCUCCAGUGGGAUCUGAGGAGAGAUCAGAUACAAAAAAGGAAAAGUAGGGUCAAAGCUCUACAAAGCUCAGCAGAAGAACUACCCCCAUACAAAAAGGGAACAUCUUGAGGCCUCCAAGAAAAAGGAUUGCCAAGAGCUGUAGGUUACUCCUUUAUCACAGGUGCACUCUAAGUCUGACUCCAUUCCCCCCUAGAGUCUGUAAGUAUUAGUGGCAGAGUACAUCAUAAACUUUUGUAGGGAAUGUUUUGUGCCAACCAUCAUCCUAAAUACUAACAUAUAAAACUAAUGAAAUCUGGCUAGCUAUUUGACAACUGGAAAUCAUGUAAAGAAGCACAUUGGCAGAGUCUUGGGGGAUAGAGCAAUAGAAAAAGAGACAGAGAGAGUCUGAAGAGUCUGAGAGUCUCUUCAGAACUACCCUUAGAAGCCCAAAAGAAGAAAGUAGCAGUCAAGCUCUUAGGACAUGGUCUUCCAAGGGAUUGGUAGAGAGGGUAGCUUCAUAGCAUGUGCCACAAAUGUAUUACUUCUUACUAAUUAAUAAAAUUACAAAUGGGAAAGAGAAUCUUAAUUUG
rnacentral:lncRNA from 1 species